rnacentral:rRNA from 1 species
AUUUUUAGGUAACUAAAAACAAACCCAGAUACUAAGAGUUAUGUUCUUCAAACCUAAAGGAUUUGGCGGUAAUUUAGUCCAGUUAGAGGAACCUGUUUGGUAAACGAUAAACCACGAAAAAUCUUACCUGUUUUAAAAGUUUGUAUACCGUCAUUAUUAGACAACUUUUUAUGAAAGAGUKGUUUCAAUAGACUCUCGUCCUAAUAUAUUAGAUCAAGGUGCAGCCAMUMAACMGGUCUUAAUGGGUUACAAUAAAACUUAGCUACUACGAAUGCAGAACAGAAUGAUUUUGCUGAAGGAGGAUUUAAUAGUAAAAUUGGUUUAAUAAGCCUGUUUGAUAAUGGACCUAAAUUGAGUACAUAUCGCCCGUCGCUUUCACCUCACAAGUGAAAUAAGUCGUAACAUAA